ensembl:lncRNA
CCCACACUAAAUAAAAGCUACGUUCCCUCUUUUAAUGCUUCUGAGAAUUGAGCUUUUGUACAAAAAAAGGGCCCUACGCUCUGGUGAGAACUGCCAGUUGCUAAAAGGUGUUGCUCUGGUGAGAAGAGAAUGGGGCAGGACUGAAGGACCACAGAUAGAAGCACUGCUGACGUCUAUUUAGCUGAAGUAUGUUGAAAUAAUUCCCCACCACACCCACGUGAAUCACUUGUUUUUGUGUUUUAUCAAAAUUCUCAGUAGUUCAAAGCCAGAAAGAUCCCUGUAGAUACCCAGUUUAUCCUGCACUGUUUUCAACUGUUUUCUCACCAUUUUCUGCUCCAUGCCUCCUCCUUCCAGCUUUUUUUGUCCUCUCCGGAGUCCUACUCUUUCCACAGUAAGGUUAGUCGCCACUGCUGUAGGUACAGCUCUUGAUAUCCAAAUCUGUUCUCCUUCUUACACCACAUAAAAGUCGCAGCUGAACUACAGAAAAAAACCAGAGGGGUGGAAAACCUGGUAGUGUGCAUGGCAUCAAAGUGCUAGGAGAACAAAGCUUAAAUGACAAGCCCUUAAUAAUUCACCUGUGACUAUUUUCCUGAAUUCUUACACACUCUGGUGUGAAAUGACUGUAUUUUAUUGUGUUACAUUUGACACUUCAACUCUGGCCUUUGGUAUUAAUGAGAAUGCCCUUCGUCUAUAGCUGCUUUUCCUCCUUUUCUUUGAUUCAUUAGUUGUUUACUGCAGGCUAUUAACAACCUGAGAACUAGCUUUAAUCCACAGCCAGAGUCUUUAAAUAUAAUACAUCAUCAACAGGUAAUUAUUCACUUUGAACUCUUUCCUCCUUUUUUCUUAGCCCUGUGAGGUGAUGUCUGGGGCUUUUAUGGUAACAGAGUUCUUCCAUCAAAGCAUUAAAAUUAGUAACACAAAUGUCAAGAAGUUAAUUUGCAUACUUUAAACACAAGAAUGGCCAAUCUUUUUUUCUUUCUUUUUUUUUUUAUGCCUGCUACAGCUCUGGAGAGAUUUUGAUGCUUUUGCAACAGCAAUUGCUUGACAAUUUAUACUUUAUUAAUGGGUAACUGUACUAUAAAUACUCCGUACUACAAGUUCACUAGGAGUCUUUGCCCACUUCAUCCACGCUCAAGAGGAUUUUAUUUCAGUCAUCCCAUUCAGCUGUUUGAGCAGUCAGCUCAGAAAUCAGAAGUUGUACAUUUAAAUUCAGGACCCGCACCUCUAAAUACACAUAAGCACAAGUUCACAGCGUUGUGUUGACUCCCAAGGUCUUUGACUCAGGUUCUCUGGCUUCAUUUCAGGAAGGUCCUUAAGACCAUGAUUAAGUGCUCCUGUACUUAAGGCUUUCCUAAGUGCUAUUCAAUAGUGGUAUAUAUUUCCUGAACUAAGAUCUUUGUGUGCACACUUGCAGAGACGCUUGGGCUAAUCCCAGAUGAACAAACACAUAGGUAGGGCGAAUGUGACAACGUACCUUCACAGACCCCACAGAAAGGCAGUCGGUGUUGCCUGCAACACAGUGUACUUUCAUCUGAAGCAUUUAUCAGUCUUGGAAAGUCAAGUACAUAACAUUAUGGUGAACUUCUGAGAUUUUUGUUGUUGUUGUUACAGCGCUCUCUUUUAAUCUUUUCUGCAGGAUUUUAUAAUUUUGGUUUCUAAACAUCCCCAGAAAUAAAUUCCAAGGAGCAGCUGACCCAUGAAUGCAAGAGAGUUGCAUUUAUUGAGAGCGCUGCCUCCACUUGUCAUCCUUCCACCCAGAGGUCGUAGUUGGCUGUAACGUGGGGUGCUCUGAGAAGUGGCUUCCAGCAAAAGUGGCACUGGGUAUGUGGAUUUUUAAAAGAUUUCCUUGCACAUUUGCCUGAUGUUCAGUACAUAGACAGUAAGUAGUAGGUACACACACACAACACACAGGGGCAGACUGCUGCUCCCCCAACUCCCAGGAGUUACCAGCAGAAUGAGCAAUGUGACUCAGACACUCAGUUUCUGGACCUGGCUAUUUCAAUCAUGACUGCACGAUAGGAAAGCACCAAAGGAAAACAGUAACUUCCCCAUAUGCAUAUGAAGAAGCCAAGAGACAAGUUUUCCACCAGGCUUUCAUUCUUAAGGAGAUAAGCGAAUCAUGGAAGAAAUAUCAUGCCCACAGUUUAGGCCAAUUGAUAUCAUGAGCAAGUGGUUCACUGCAAGUGGAAUUAACCAGCAAGAACGUGGAGCCUGACUGCUCCUCACAUUCUCCUGAUAAGUAAUCCGCAGAGCCAUGAGAGAAAUGUGUGCUCACGGUGAAGUUAGAAUUAUGAAAAUAAGGCAGGCAAUGAACAACAUACUUGCUUUUGAGGAAGACCUAAAAGCUUCUCCAGACUGAAAAGCAACAGCUAAAAAAGUUUUAUCUUUGCAAGCAUCACUAAAAAGGUUGUAAGCUGAAUAUACUACAAAGUCACUGCCUUCGUCCUUCUGUCUGUGAUGUCUUUAAAUUGAAAAAACCUGUUGGCUUGAGUUCUUAGAACCCCAGAUAAAAGCUUUGAUUUGUUAAUUAAAUUUUUACUGCUAUCUGCAUUUGAUAUCUCAGGCAAAUUGUAUCCGCUUGCAACAACAACAAAAAAAGUCACAUCAAAGGAGAACUCCACCUCCAUGACCUGUAAUUACAGAAUUUAUUGCUUGGUGACACUGACUGCAAGAUGCACCUGCCAGGCAGCCCUGAUGUACUAUCUACACCUAAAACAAAGCCAUUCCACUGAACCAGGGUGAGCCAUCUUAUGCCAAACAAAAGGGUUAUAUUUAGUAAGGCGUUAGCCCAGUGCACUGCCUGUCCUGAGACUGAUGGGAGCUUCUGAAAACAAGGUUUUUUCCUGUGUUAUCGCACUAAUUUGGGGAUAAGUGUCAGCUCCCACAGAGAAGGGCAGAGCUAGGAGAAAAAGGAAAAGAGAAGAGGAUGGGAAGGUAAAACGGAAUUAAAAAGGAACGACAGAAGGAGAAAGGAAAUUAAAAAACAAUUAAAUGGUUGAAAAGGAAAAAUGAUAAAAGCUACUCAUGUAAAGAGAACAGUAUUAGUAAGAAUGGGGAAGGAAGAAGAAGGGAAAAAAGACUUAAAGCAAGAGAGCAAAACAGGUUAGAGAUCUGCUGGAAUCAAACUUUUGUAGAUCCACCAUUCUCCCCUUCAAACACCCCCAUAGAUAAAACAGAAACCCCAAAUUUGUGUCAGUGCACUCUGGCUUUUAUUUUUUUUCCUUGCUAUUUUGAAACAAAACUUAGGAGCCUUCCUUUGAGUCCCAGAAGUUGUUAUUAGUGUUUAUGUUUGGGAAACAAAACACAAAGAAGGAAAAUACAGUAGCACACUGAAUGGGCUUGAUGGAUAGGAAUUUUCCCUGGAGUCAUGAAUGCAUGGAAAAUAUCCACAAAACACAAGAAGCAAUAAUUUCGUUGAAAAAAAAAUUGUUAGGGAAACCAAUAUAGAAAAUUCCUGCCAGAAGACUUAUCAGUAUUGCUUCAGUGACAGCAGGGACUUCCAAGCUGGCAGCCAAAAAAUAUCUGGUUACUUCUCUCACAUGGAUCACGGUGCAAGGUAUAUCUUCAUGCUAAAAUAAAUGAAUAGUAAAAUAAUAAUAAUUUAAUAUAUUGUUCAUUACAUCCUGGUAUUUUACCUACUCUGUCUUUUCUUUUUUUCUAUAGGCCCACGAUUUUGCUUCUCACAUCUGUCUGGCCUCAGGGAACUCUAAUUAAACACCACUGAAAAGAAUGGGGUGAAGUAUACGGUGGAGUAGAGAUUGUGUAGACAUCAAAGUCUUUCUCUGUUUUCAUUGGAACUUCAAAAUACUGCUGAAAUAUUUGCUAAACCUAGCUGAUGUCUUCUUCCUAGAAGCUGCUGAGGGAGCAGGGACUGUACAGCAUGGAGACGAGGAGGCUCAGGGGAGACUUUACAACUACCUGAAAGGAGGUUGUGGCAAAGUGGGGGUCAGCCUCUUCUCCCAGGUAACAGCGAUAGGAUGAGAGGAAAUGGCCUUAAGUAGCACCAGGGGAGAUUCACGUACGAUAUUAGAGAAAAUUUCUUCUCAGAAAGAGUGAAGCAGUGGCAUAGGCUGCCCAAGGUGAUGGAGUUACCAUCCCUGCAGGUGCUCAAGAACCAUGUGGAUGUGGUACUGAGGGACAUGGUUAGUGGGCAUGGUGUGAUGGUCUGACAGUUGGACUUGAUGGUCCUAGCAGUCUUUUUAACCUUAAUGAUUCUAUGAUUUGCUGAUAGCCUGUCCUCUACUGUGCUAUCUGAGCUGCCUUCAGUGGCAUUUCCACUGAAACAGCACAGUUUUCCUUAGCUGCCGAUAGCAGGAACAGUCUUUGCAGCUGAGGAUCAGGUGAGGACAGGCCCUGCUCAGGCCCAAGCAUCAGCAUCACCCUUUUCAACACUACCUUAGAAAUGACAGCCCUACAUUGAGACUAUGGCCCCUCUGGGUUUUGCCACUGUGUCCAAUUAAAUACUUUAUGUUAUUCUUCAUUUAUAAGGGGUAAGAGAGGAAAAUGACACACAUGAUUAGUAUAGAUGUCUCAUUGUCAGAAAACAAUUAAAGGCUAGAAACCAGCACUGGUCUUCUUGCAGUUGGGAAUUACAGUUGUUGGCAGCUGUCAGGUUAGGUUAGGAAAGGAUAGGUUAGGAAGUCUUUAAACCAGGAGUAUUGAUGCUGUCUCUGUUCUGGGAAUUUCCCAAAACCCAGAGGAAUUGUGCGUGGGUGAGAACUGACCUGGUAUUCAAGCUGCCAUUUCUUCCAUUACAGUGAAGGCUCUAGGUGAAGGGAUGCUCUCCUGAUGCUCAGAGAGCAUGGAAGGUUUCGAGGGGUGAAGGCAGGUGAGGUGCUCCCCAUAGAGGAUACAGGCUGAGCUGACACACAGGAGCACAGUAGGUAGGUGCGAUUAAAGAAUUUGGUGAAGCUGUCAAAAGAUGUUGUUCUCAGGCAAACAGAAACACACAUGCACUCACCUUAGCUGGAUUCAGCCUGAUGUCAUAAAGUGGAAGCAAAAUUAUCAUAAAAAUAAGCAUAAGGGCCCUGAAAAAAGCAAGAGGACUCACAGAACUCCUGCAAAAUAUCACUGAAGGGCAUUUGAAGUGUCAUUUUGCAGAAUGUACAGCUGGAAGAGUAGCGUGGUUAGGAUAGAAUUUUAAGGGUGUUAUAGUUGGAAACGUUAUUGUGGUAAAAAAGAAACAAGCAAGGAAGAAACACUCUCCUGUACCUGAGGAUCCAGGCUCACAAUGGAAAACUCCAAAAGGGAGGGAUCUCCAGAAAAAGAUCCUUCCCUAGUGGCAGUCAGCCCUUAAAUGGGGUGUAGGAGAGGUGCGGCCAGGCUCCACCCCUUCUGGUCACACGGCUGAAUUGCCUUCACCUGUGCUCCCAUGGCUGACCCAGUCCUUGCUUCAGGUGAUCAAUCAGUGGUUCAGGCCGUGACUCAACAUUACCUUCAUCUGAUAAUGGUAAUGACUUGACAAAGUAGAGUAUCAGGCUGAGAGUAUGUGGAUACACCU